rnacentral:lncRNA from 1 species
ACCACCGGAAGUGCGUCACUAGAGCGGGCCGGGAGCGCAGGCCGAACCCGGAAGCAGGCCUGGCGUAGGCUGGAGCUUGGGGGAGGCGCCGGGUCUCUGAGAUUUAGUGACCGAACUGCCCGCGCGGAGAGGACUGGCGGCGGAGAACUGCAGCAAGAGCAGGAAACCCACGGGACCGCGGACGUGCGCGAGGCUCGAGGCCGUGCUGCACCGAGGGGCUCGACUCGUGGCGCCGAGCGGUCACUUCCGGCCUGCGGGGGGUACUUUUUAAAGGGAUAGCGGGUAUUUCCGAAGCCACGGGGGCAUCGCCACGCCGCGGUGUCGCCGCUGGGGCCGGGGCUUCUGUGGGUUCUAAUGAUUCUGCCGUACGUGCUUUGCCCUAAUUGUCAACUGUUUUGUCAAGUCCGCGUUGGCUCCAAGAGAGACCUUCCCUGACGUUUUCAGUGCCCGCGGAGUGGACAGCCCCGGCGGAGCAUCUGACCGCCCGCUCCCCGGCUCCCGCUGCAGCUGUCAUUCACGUCGAUGAUGCUGUUUUCCUUAGAGAUCCGAGUGUACAAAUGGACUGAUGCUGCAAAGUCCGUGGGUGGGGUUGGGGUGGGGAGAGUACUUCUGCCUGCCAGGUCUUCAGAGAUGGGUUUACACUUCGAUGAGUAGCGCUGACAAGCCACGUCUUGCAAGGGCGGUUGCAUUCGACCGAAUAGCACAGGUUCCCUUCACCGAUAUGAGCUCGGGUAGCAUUCAUCAUCUGGAGGGGGAUCUUUCCUUAUCUACUUCUCCUUUCUACUGUUUGAAGUGUAAAUUCGUCUUAGGUUAUUGAGUUUUCAGUACUUUGAUUGUAUCCAAAUGGAAGCAUUCAAGUGUGAUAUUGUCUGGCAGUAAAUUUACUUUAAAAAAAAAAAAGCUUACCCUGUGGACUAUCACAUGAGUUAAAUAUCCAAGAUAAAAGAGUGAACAGAGAGUUGCAGGAGGACUAAGAAACACGAGUAAACAUGAGUAACUGUGAUAACGGUUAUAAUUUGCUUUAAAGAUCAUUUACAUUUUCUUUUUAAAUUUCCUGUGUAUGAGUUCUUUGCCUGGAUGUGUGUCUAUUCACGAUGUGCUAGAGCAACCAGAGCUCUUAACCACUGAGCCAUUUCUCCAACCCCCAAAGAGUAUAUAUUUGCCUUUUGAGAGAGAACAGUUUUUAGUCGUUUUUGUCAUUUCCAUGGACGUGGGAAAUUAAAAUUCCAAAUUUAUUUCUUGGCUAUUUUACUAGGAAAUCUAACUUAAUAAAACGGUUGUUCUGUUGAACCUAUAGGUCAUACAUUGGGAUAAGAUAGUUCCAAAAGUGCAGUUACCACCUCGAUGUACCUUAAUGUUAGUCAUUAAAAUUCUCUGAGUGGUGUGGAAAAGUAAAUCGUACACAUCAAAGAAGGGGCUCUUGGGAUCUAGGAGGGGUGGGACAAGGCUUAAACAGACACCUUUCAGUCUCAGGCUUAGUCUGGAGGACAUGAAGUUCUUGUCUGUAGUUUUAUAGGUUAAGAUUAUUUUCAUUGUUGUGGGAAAGAAUAGUGUUAUUGUUUUUAGUUUUGUUUUUCAAAAAAGAAAAAUGAGUCACCAUAUAGUUUGUGGGACUUACUUGGAGAGAGAGAUCAAAAUGUCGCUUGCACUUGACAGUCGGUAUGGAGUAAAAGGCUUUGAAACCCAUGGAAGUCUGGGCACAUGCGCUCCUCUCAUUGAGGGCAGUAGUGUCCAUGUGCAGUCUUUUGCAAUAUCAUAUGUUAUAAGAAAUUGUUUUAAAAUAGAUGCUCAAUAAAUGCAUAUGUUCUAAAGUAAUAAAGCAUAAUAAAAAAAAGCAAACACGAAUCUAUGACUGAUAUUAAGAUCUAGAAUGUAGAAUGUGGAUGUGUGAGUGCAGGUGCCUGUGGAGGCAGAGGACGUGGGAUCCUCUAGAGCUGGAGUUAAAACUGGUUGUGCGCCAUUAACUGUGGGACUCAGCCCUGCAUCUACUUCUACAAUAUAGUUUAUCAUUACAUCAUAUGUGCAGUGUUUUAAGGUUUUCAACUAGCUUCACUAAUUUGUGAUUUUGUUUCUAGCAUUCCAAGCCAUGGCCUGUUUUGUCAGCUCUUUUCACCAAUAUAUAAUACUUCACUACAAAUAGACUGUAUUUCUGUGUCUGGUUCCUUGAUAAUGGCCAUUUGAAUUAUCCCCCAACAUUUUCUUAUACAAUAUUAAACAGGCAUACCUUUCAGUUAUACCACAGCCAUUAUGAAGAGUACUUUCAUAUUUUGACAGAUAAGUAUCCCAUUCAAAUUGACUAAUAGAUGACGCUAUAAUUAACAAUUGAAAACCUUAGAAUAGUGCCUCGCAAGUGAUACAUACUUGGUAAAUAGCGGUCAUUAUUUUAACAUACAGUAUUUAAAUCAGCUUCAGCUUUUAAUGCUACUCACCCUUGUCUCAAGUAGUGCUGGUAAAUUAUAGGCUUGACUAUAGCAUUAUGUUCAAUAUCUGAUACAGCUUUUAUAGGCUUCUUUUGUGUUUUUAAUUUUUAGUUACGUGUGUGUGUGUGUGUGUGUGUGUGUGUGUGUGUGUGUAUCUGUGUUGGGGAAUGUGACUGUCAGUACAGGCACCGUGGAGGCCAGAAGAGGAGAGCAGAUCCCCCGGAGCUCUGUCUCAGUCCUUUGGAUACUGUGAAUACUACUGCCAUGAACAAUGUGUACAAUAUACUUGUUUUAGUACCUGUUUCAACUGUUGGGGGGGGGCGGGAAGGGGUGCAAUUGCUUAGCUUAAUGAAAAGUUUAUAUUUGAUUUCUUGAAUCACCAAACUAUUUCCCAUAUUCUCGAAAUCAAUAUCAAAACUUUUAUUUGUAUUCUCUCUGACACUUGUUAUUGUCCAUUAAGAAAAGAAAACAUAUUAUUUACUAGAUUCUGCAUAGGAGGGAGACCAUCCUGCCUUUCAUGUAUUUGAUUGAGCAGUUUGCCAGUGUGUCUGUGUGUACAUCACUUGUGUGCCUGUUCCUACAGAGAUCAUAAGAGGGUAUUGUAUCCCUAGCAACUAGACUUCAGGGUGCCGCUGUGGGUGCUGGGAACUGAGCCUGGUGCUAUGCAGGAGGAGGAAGUGUAAGUGAGCACUCGCCAUGUCUCCAUUCAUGUCGCUGGUUCUCAUGAUAAUGCCCCUUACACAGAGAUGUAAAAAUCUGGUGCUGCUUUUUUUUUUAUUAUUAUUUUGUUGCUUAUGCAUUAGGUGUCAUAAACUUAGAAUCCUUUACCAAUCUUCUAUCAGGCAGAUCUACUCUUGCUUUGGUCUCCAAGAGUUACAUUAUUUUGGUUCUUGUUGUUCGAUUGUUGGUCCUUUUAAGUUAGUUUUUGUGUGAUGUGAGGGAGGAGUCCACACUAACUCCUAUGUACACAUCUGCUUCCAUCAUGGUUUGAAAAGAAUAUUUUUCCCCUCUGCAUGAUCCUGACACACUUGUCAAGUCAGCUGGCCACAGAUGAACAGAUUUGCUUCUGGGCUCUUAAUCCUACUCGGUUGAUCUGUGUAUCCGCAUGUCGGAAAUGAGCUGUGUGUAGUGUGAUACCUUCUGAAAUUGGGAAGUGUUACUCUAGCUCUAAAAAAACCACUGUUUUGGCUCUGUGGGGCCACUUAAAUUUCUGUAUCACAUUAUGGAUGGGCUUCUUGGUUUGUUCGUAAAAAGCCUUUGGAUCUUUCAUGUUGCUGCACCGAACUGGUAGAUAAUCUUGAAGAGCUACACUAACAUUGUUAGGUCUCUUAAUCUGGAGCAGUCUAUUAAAAUCUCUAAAUUCCUUCAGUGCAGUUCCAUAGUUUUAGAUGUCUUUGGUUUAUUUUUAAAAAUUUUGUUAUUUUGGAUAUUACUGCACAUGAAUUUUCCACUUAAUUUUUUUCAGAAUGUUUAUUGCUGGUGUAUAAAAAUACAACUGAUGCUACACAGAGAAAACCUGUCUCAAACAACAGCAACAACAACCACAAAAUACUGAUGUUUUCCUGGCUGACUGUAUGGCCUAUAACUUUGCCAGUUAACAUAGUAGGGGUGUGUGUGUAUGUGUGUGAAUUUUCAAUAUACCAUCUGUAAAUACAGGUAGCUUUACUUUUAUUGUUAGUUUAUAUGACUUUUUAAAAAUUUUAUAGCCUAAUUUCUCUGUCUAGAACUCCAAUACAUUGUUCACAACAAAUGGAAAAAUAAUGUUUUAUUUCUGAUUUUGGGGUGAAUUUUUGCUCCAUUAAAUUAUAUUGUUAGCUUUUCAUGUAAAUCCCUUUCCAUACUAAAGAAAUUUCCUUCC